GGGGUUGUGGUUGAGAGGUAAAGCACUCGCCUAGCAUGUGUGAGGCCCUGGGUUCGAUCCUCAGCACCACA
rnacentral:tRNA from 1 species